rnacentral:rRNA from 1 species
AGAGAGAGACAUGCGCGCAUAUCAAUAAGCGGAGGAAAAGAAACUAACAAGGAUUCCCCUAGUAACGGCGAGUGAAGCGGGAAGAGCUCAAAUUUGAAUCUUAAAGGGUUUCCCUUUACGAAUUGUAGAUUUAAAGAAGUGUUUUCUGUUGAGGUUUUGGUAAAAGUUCUUUGGAAUAGGACAUCAUAGAGGGUGAGAAUCCCGUAUUUGACCUUUACUUUCAACUUUGUGAUACACUUUCAAAGAGUCGGAUUGUUUGGGAAUGCAGUCCAAAAUGGGUGGUAAAUUUCAUCUAAAGCUAAAUAUUGGCGAGAGACCGAUAGCGAACAAGUACCGUGAGGGAAAGAUGAAAAGAACUUUGAAAAGAGAGUUAAACAGUACGUGAAAUUGUCAAAAGGGAAGCGUUUGACACCAGUGUUGUUUUUCUGAAAAUCAAUUAAAGAACUGUUUAUGCUAAGCUGUUUAGACUUUAUCAGCUAAUCUGUUUAGUUUUGAGCUUUUCUUUAAUGCACUUUUCAGUUAACAAGUCAACAUCAAUUUCUUUUGCUGUAAAAAAGCUUGAGGAAGGUGGCUUGAGAUUCGUCUUAAGUGUUUAUAGCCUCUUGCCUAUGCAGUCGGAGAGAUUGAGGUCUGCAGCGUAGAUCCUUCGGGGCUAAAUGCAUUUGUGCUAAGUUAUAGCAUUUUAUAGACAACUUGUUGACUAUGAUUUGUCUUGUAGCUUACUCGCUUAUGUUAUUUUACCUACGCUUAGGAUGUUGACGCAUGAGAUAUACGC